CGAGACCUCAGGUCAGGCGGGGCUACCCGCUGAGUUUAA
rnacentral:rRNA from 21 species